rnacentral:piRNA from 1 species
UAAAGCAAGAUUUUUUUUGAGUGGGGG